UGGUGUUACUGCGAAGGGGGGACGGAGAAGGCUAUGUUGGCCGGGCGACGGUUGUCCCGGUUUAAGCGUGUAGGCUGGUUUUCCAGGCAAAUCCGGAAAAUCAAGGCUGAGGCGUGAUGACGAGGCACUACGGUGCUGAAGCAACAAAUGCCCUGCUUCCAGGAAAAGCCUCUAAGCAUCAGGUAACAUCAAAUCGUACCCCAAACCGACACAGGUGGUCAGGUAGAGAAUACCAAGGCGCUUGAGAGAACUCGGGUGAAGGAACUAGGCAAAAUGGUGCCGUAACUUCGGGAGAAGGCACGCUGAUAUGUAGGUGAAGUCCCUUGCGGAUGGAGCUGAAAUCAGUCGAAGAUACCAGCUGGCUGCAACUGUUUAUUAAAAACACAGCACUGUGCAAACACGAAAGUGGACGUAUACGGUGUGACGCCUGCCCGGUGCCGGAAGGUUAAUUGAUGGGGUCAGCGCAAGCGAAGCUCUUGAUCGAAGCCCCGGUAAACGGCGGCCGUAACUAUAACGGUCCUAAGGUAGCGAAAUUCCUUGUCGGGUAAGUUCCGACCUGCACGAAUGGCGUAAUGAUGGCCAGGCUGUCUCCACCCGAGACUCAGUGAAAUUGAACUCGCUGUGAAGAUGCAGUGUACCCGCGGCAAGACGGAAAGACCCCGUGAACCUUUACUAUAGCUUGACACUGAACAUUGAGCCUUGAUGUGUAGGAUAGGUGGGAGGCUUUGAAGUGUGGACGCCAGUCUGCAUGGAGCCGGCCUUGAAAUACCACCCUUUAAUGUUUGAUGUUCUAACGUGGACCCGUGAUCCGGGUUGCGGACAGUGUCUGGUGGGUAGUUUGACUGGGGCGGUCUCCUCCUAAAGAGUAACGGAGGAGCACGAAGGUUGGCUAAUCCUGGUCGGACAUCAGGAGGUUAGUGCAAUGGCAUAAGCCAGCUUGACUGCGAGCGUGACGGCGCGAGCAGGUGCGAAAGCAGGUCAUAGUGAUCCGGUGGUUCUGAAUGGAAGGGCCAUCGCUCAACGGAUAAAAGGUACUCCGGGGAUAACAGGCUGAUACCGCCCAAGAGUUCAUAUCGACGGCGGUGUUUGGCACCUCGAUGUCGGCUCAUCACAUCCUGGGGCUGAAGUAGGUCCCAAGGGUAUGGCUGUUCGCCAUUUAAAGUGGUACGCGAGCUGGGUUUAGAACGUCGUGAGACAGUUCGGUCCCUAUCUGCCGUGGGCGCUGGAGAACUGAGGGGGGCUGCUCCUAGUACGAGAGGACCGGAGUGGACGCAUCACUGGUGUUCGGGUUGUCAUGCCAAUGGCACUGCCCGGUAGCUAAAUGCGGAAGAGAUAAGUGCUGAAAGCAUCUAAGCACGAAACUUGCCCCGAGAUGAGUUCUCCCUGACCCUUUAAGGGUCCUGAAGGAACGUUGAAGACGACGACGUUGAUAGGCCGGGUGUGUAAGCGCAGCGAUGCGUUGAGCUAACCGGUACUAAUGAACCGUGAG
rnacentral:rRNA from 1 species